CCGCGGGUGGCUCUGCGCAUGCGCAUAAGGGCUGAAGGGCUUCUGCCUCUGGUGACUGUUGGGCACCCAUAUUUUGAGUAUGAGUGAGCAUUCAAAGGGAGCAGUUGGUUAAAAUUGACUUCUCUCCUCAAUUUAUUUAUUUUUUGUUUGAACCUCAAUGUAGUGCCAGUUUAGAAGGCAACUUUUGGGUUCUUUUCUGGUGUGAGUGCCCCAUUUUGCGUGUUUGGGGCUGUGGUGUGUGCGCCAUACAUCGUGUCAGACAAGCACAUAACAACACUAAUAAGUACCUGUAGGAAAAACAGCGCAGUCUGCUAUAUGCAAACGAAAAUAAUUGUGUCUGCAAUCAGAGUAAGAAAGGGAGUUCUAUAAGUUGUGGUGGCCAGAGACUAGGAUUGUGGGUGAUGACUGGAGAGAAGUGUGAUGGUAUCAGUUCUGGCGGUUCCUUUAAAAGUAAAAGGAUCCCAGGUCUGAUUAUUGCCUUCAGUGUUUUCUUCUCCAUCACUGAAUCCUCCCAUCAUGUAAAACAGGUGUGCUUUUAACGAUGUUCUCCAUCACAUCUAAAUAGUUUACCCCUUCUCAUCUUUCUUGCCAUCCACUCUGUCCUCCAGGAAAUCCACUCAUCUCUGCCCUGCUCUGUUUUUGCAGUCCUUGCAUUAUCCUUUGUCUAUUUGUAAUACUGUCCCAGUUUACUGGCAGGUUUGUAUGCGUAGGCUUUGAGGAUCCAUUAUGAUGUACUUGAGAUUUAUUGAUUGUGUCUGUACUGUAGUAGUAACCAUCAGCAUUUACAGAGGUCUCAAACGUCUCUACCAUUUUACACUGGGAUCAGUGUAAUAGGAAGGAUAGAUUAUCUUGGAGGUGAAAUUUUCACUGCUGUUGAAAAAUUCUGCUUAGAACCUAUCUCCUUUCUCCUAUUUGCUACUUUUCUAUGAGCACCCUGGUCCUUUGUCCCAUUCCCUCAUUUCCUACUUACCUCUGCAUGUGGUUGUCCACGCAGCUCUUGAAGAGAGGGCACAAGUUCCUUAUUUCAGCUGUCCUUUUGCCCCCCACUUUUUUUUUUCCCCAAUCUCAAUCUUUUCCUCUGCCUGAUUUCUCACAGGUAAAAGUUCUUCCCUUACCUGCAUUGACAGUGAUAGAUUAAGGAUCAAGUUACUUGUCCAUACCUUGUAAUCCAAGCAGAAUCACAUUUCGCUGUUAGCAGUCCACAGAGGUUGCUGCUGAAUAAAUUGGAAUACUGGUCUCUGUGCUCACUGAAGCUUCUCUCAUCUUGAAUACAUGAAGAAGAGGGAGGGGGAAAGAAACCCUGCAGGUUUGAAAAAACAACAGCAACACAGCACAGGAUGAGGUCCUCACCCCAGAGAAGUGUUGAUUACGUUAAAUCCUGUACUUAGCAGCUAAAGAGAAACAGAGCACUCCUUUAUUCACAUUUCAUUUCUUUACCAAAUAUAGCAAGAUUCCUAUGGGUGGGAAGUGCCCCUUCUCUAACGUGAGCAGGGUAAAUUGUCCUGGUAGCCACAGGACCCUGAAAUCUGAAGUCACGUUCCUUUAGGCAAUGGUCACAAAACAGCAGAUAAAGCACAGUUCAUCAGGCUCCAGAAAGCAGGGAUGGUGGCACUGCAGCUCCAGUAAGAGUGGCAAGGAAUGGCAGCAGCAAGGUGAGGGAAGAAAAUUACAGAACGCUUACUGUCCAUGACAAAGAUGAUGAUGAAAGAUGCCAGUUAAGAAAAUUAAGAUUCCUCACCUUCUGUUCACGUCAAUGGAAAAUGGAGGGGGCUUGGCAUCACACAGAAGGUGAUCUUGUCUUGCAUGAACAAGCUACACAUUUUCAACUGUUUGAAACUGGUGGAUCAACCUCAAAUUACAGAUCUUGAAACAAGUGGUAAGUUGGCAAAUUAAUUUCAAAGCUAAACAGUCUUGCAGAAAUUAAGAAAGUCCUUAAGCAGCAGACCUAAGAGAAAAAAGUGUACUAACCGAAGAAAUGCUGAUUAGGAAGUUGAGAAUAGUGUUUGUGAUGACACAGCUGAGAUAUGAUUCUAUGAGGUGGUAAAAAAUCCAGGAAGCCCAGCUGCUAUGGGCUGAGUUCAAGGGAUAGAGUUCAAGGGCCAUCUUGUGAAUUAGCAUUAACUGCUGUGAAAGGCUUCAUGUUCAUGCUCAUUUAGUGAUAUAUGAGGCUGGUUGAAACAAGGGAUAAAGGUGGUGCCCUGACAAGGAAACAAACCAAUGGUUUGUAAGAGAAAUACAGCAUUACAAUGUUGAAUUUUAAUGUGAUGUACGCUUGUGACUUCACAUUUUAUUUAGGUAGGCAGUUAUAAUCUGGAAUUGGAUUUAUGAACCAAAGGAAAAGGUGUGAAGUAUCUGUCAUCCUCACCCUUUGGUCACAGUCCCAGCUUUUAACUUUGCAUGUAUUUCAAGCCUUUCCAGUGUAAUAGUUUGUUGUUGGAUUCAUAUUUAAGAAACAGAAAAGGAACGUAUGCUUUAUAGUAGGGAUAUGGCUAGAAAAUGCAAAAUGAAAACAAACAAACAAAAAACUUUCAUUCUCAUUAUCUAGUGUAAAUUCAAAAUAAUUCCAGCUCAGAGUUAAGGAAGAGUAAAAGUUGCAGAAGAAAGAGGUAGGGAAAAGGGGACGUGUUUCAUAUUGCCUUGUUACUAGGUACCAACUUUCAGGCAUUGUUUCAAUUAAAAAAAAAAAAGUUAUAGUCAAUCUUGCAUCAAAAUAUUAGUGCUGUGUUCUUUCAUAUAAGCCAAAAUGGUUCUUCAAAGUAUUUCUUUUAUGCCAAUUGAGGUAAUUUUUCGUUUGAAGCCUUCUGGGAGUAACUGAGAAUGUAUCCGAUGUGAAGUUGCCCAAUCAGCUGCAAGCUUACUUACCUGAAUCAAGUUUUCUUCUGAAAAUUGUGCCCACUAAUUUUAGUAUCAGUGCCACUCAUUUUAAUGGGAAUAAGGAACCAUAUAAAAUAGCAUGUGAAAUGUCAGAUAAUGACACACUCCUCAGGCUCAAUAAUGCUGCUAAAGUUUAGCAGAAAUUUCCCCUGGAUGCUUCACAAUUGCUCCUAUGCAACCAUAAUAUAAUCAUGAUCUGAUAAAUAAAGAGGCUUUAGACUAGAAACAGGAUCAUAGUCACUGAUAUGCCAGUGUGCUAUGAACAGGCAAUUUAGCUGAUACAUCACCUGACUAGCUUCUGUGGAUGAUGGUAUAUGCCAUUUUUUCAGCUUCUAAACUAGGAGACAAUGUUAAAUAACCUCAUUAUUUCUUUUAUUCCUUUCUUAAUUGCUUUUUAUUUGGACAUAAUCUCAGAGAUCAGGUAACAGAAAUAUUUUUUUUUUUUUUUAAGAAAUCCUAUCAUAUGGCUUAUCAGUAUGGUGAAAACUUAGCAAUUGCCUGCUGUCUGGGUGAUUUAGUACUCUCACUGCAAACCCCUGCUAUUAUCUCCUGCAGUGAGGAAAGAUGUAAUUCAGAAAUGCAUCUCUUCGUGUCUCUUCCAGUGUGUGUCAGGGAUACGGGGGGGGGGGGGG